AAUUAAACCUGAUCGGAGCGAGCACGAAUUCCGAUUCUUUCAAUCGGGAGAGUAAAGUGGAGAGCAGGACUGUAC
rnacentral:sRNA from 1 species